CAGCAUAUCAAUAAGCGGAGGAAAAGAAACCAACAGGGAUUGCCUCAGUAACGGCGAGUGAAGCGGCAAAAGCUCAAAUUUGAAAUCUGGCGCCUUCGGCGUCCGAGUUGUAAUUUGGAGAGGCAUCUUCGGGUGGGGCGCAGGCCUAUGUUCCUUGGAACAGGACGUCACAGAGGGUGAGAAUCCCGUGCACGGCCGGCUGUCCCCGUCCAUGUGAAGUGUCUUCGACGAGUCGAGUUGUUUGGGAAUGCAGCUCAAAAUGGGUGGUAAAUUUCAUCUAAAGCUAAAUAUUGGCGAGAGACCGAUAGCGCACAAGUAGAGUGAUCGAAAGAUGAAAAGCACUUUGAAAAGAGAGUUAAAAAGUACGUGAAAUUGUUGAAAGGGAAGCGCUUGAGACCAGACUUGACCUGGGGUGAUCAGCAGUCCUUCUGGGCUGUGCACUCGCCUCAGCGUCGGGCCAGCAUCGGUUGGGACGGCAGGAUAAAGGUCGCGGGAAUGUGGCUCCCCUCGGGGAGUGUUAUAGCCCGUGGCGCAAUGCUGCCUGCCCCGACCGAGGACCGCGCUUCGGCUAGGAUGCUGGCGUAAUGGUCUUCAGCGACCCGUCUUGAAACACGGACCAAGGAGUCUAACAUCUAUGCGAGUGUUUGGGUGGAAAACCCUUGCGCGUAAUGAAAGUGAACGGAGGUGGGAGCCCUCAAGGGUGCACCAUCGACCGAUCCUGAUGUCUUCGGAUGGAUUUGAGUAGGAGCAUAGCUGUUGGGACCCGAAAGAUGGUGAACUAUGCCUGAAUAGGGUGAAGCCAGAGGAAACUCUGGUGGAGGCUCGCAGCGGUUCUGACGUGCAAAUCGAUCGUCAAAUUUGGGUAUAGGGGCGAAAGACUAAUCGAACCAUCUAGUAGCUGGUUCCUGCCGAGC
rnacentral:rRNA from 1 species